rnacentral:misc_RNA from 1 species
AGUUAUUAUUAUGUUAUAUAGAUAAUAAAUCCACACUUCUCGAGGCAGAAAGAACUUUAUUGCACACACUUAGAAGGGUCACAAACGAAUGAAAGAAAAAAAAGCAAGAGGGGUCCUAAAACUAUCGAUCAGGUCUAUCGACCGUGUCUAGGAACAACUUCUAGUUACUCCUUUUGUAACUAGCCGUCAGCAAAUAGAUGGCGAGCGAGAACUCACGUUGUUAUUUUCAAUAAUAAUAAUUCAGAGGGCGCUCCGAGGCACGUUGUACGGGAUUAUUCACUUACGCAAGAUAUAUUCAUAUGUCUAUUCAAAUGUUUUUUCAAAUAUUUUUUCAAACAAAAGAAGGAUUUCAUUUUUGUAUAGUAUGUUCAUCAUUUCUUAGAAUCGUUCUUCCUUUUAAAGUGCUUUGCUAUUGGUUCUUGUUGCGGGCAGUAUAAUCCUGCGCACUAGAAAUGGGAACCGGCAACGUUAGACAAUCUCGAUUUCGAUUGUCGAUAUCAGUAACUGUUGAGUCGUUACGUUGCGAUGUACGUUCUUUGGUAAAGUCGUGAUAAAUUAUUAUUGUAACUUAAUUUUCACUUCCAAGACUGUGUCUCCAUU